AUACAUAUGUUCCAAUUUAUUUUCCAUGAAGUAGCAACAUCAAUGGAAAGGCUCAAGUGCAAUUCACAGUGACUAGGGACUGAGAGCAAACUACAUCUCUACAAGCUUAUAAUCUUGAUGCCUAAGUGCUUUUGUGCAAACCCUAUAAGAUUAUUGAUUUCAUUCCCAUCAACAAAGACAUUGCCGUUGGAAUCAGCAGACUGUAUCCCUCUCUGGCCUUUCCAUCUUGCAAACCAUCCUCCGUUGGCAUGGACAGCAUCCGCGAGCUCUUCUUUGCUAAUCCGGCCGUCUUUGUCAGAAUCGAACGAUUUCAACCAUAGUGUGAGCUCCUCCAUGGUCAUUUCACGUCACCCACAUUCAGAAAUACCACGAAUUGUCAAGAUCGCCAUUUCAGUGAUUGCAAGUGCAAGUGCUUUCUCG
rnacentral:misc_RNA from 1 species